rnacentral:rRNA from 1 species
AAUCAACGCUGGCGGCGUGCCUAACACAUGCAAGUCGAACGGGAAAGUGGAGCAAUCCAUGAGUAUAGUGGCGACCGGGUGAGUAACACGUGACUAACCUACCUUCAAGUGGGGGAUAACCUCGGGAAACCGGGGCUAAUACCGCAUAAAAUACUCUGUUAUGAGAAAGACAGGGAUACAAAGGAGCAAUUCGCUGGAAGAGGGGGUCGCGGCUGAUUAGCUAGUUGGUGGGGUAAUGGCCCACCAAGGCUUUGAUCGGUAGCCGGCCUGAGAGGGCGCACGGCCACACUGGAACUGAAACACGGUCCAGACUCCUACGGGAGGCAGCAGUGGGGAAUUUUGCGCAAUGGGGGAAACCCUGACGCAGCAACGCCGCGUGGAGGAUGAAGUCCCUUGGGACGUAAACUCCUUUCGACCGGGAAGAUUA